rnacentral:rRNA from 1 species
CUGACGAGUGGCGAACGGGUGAGUAAUGCAUCGGAACGUACCCAGUCGUGGGGGAUAACGUAGCGAAAGUUACGCUAAUACCGCAUACGUCCUGAGGGAGAAAGCGGGGGACCGUAAGGCCUCGCGCGAUUGGAGCGGCCGAUGUCGGAUUAGCUAGUUGGUAGGGUAAAGGCCUACCAAGGCGACGAUCCGUAGCGGGUCUGAGAGGAUGAUCCGCCACACUGGGACUGAGACACGGCCCAG